AUCUCGUUUUGGCCAAAAUGUUCAUGUUUAAUGAUAAUAUGAGAAAUACAUCGUGCUCCUCAAGCAGGCGGUUGGAAACUUCCCAGCUGGAAAAAAAAAACCCCAGUAGAAACCAUCACAGAAAUUCUAAUGGUUUCCAGUACAAAUACCAUUACAAUCCAUCAGCUAACCAUUAAACCAUUACCAUUAGUGGUCCUUAAUGGUAUUUACUAGACCAAUAGAAGGCAACAAAUUACCAGUAGAGACUCACAGGGAGUAUUACAGUUUCCAUUACAACCAAUACAAUUCCCAUUAUAACCAUUAAAACCAUUACAAAUUCUAUCAGGGUUUCUGUAGUAUUUUCCAGCAGGGCAGGACGUACAGGGUUUCUAUAUCAGAGUUUUGCGCUCAUGAUCCUGUUCCUGUAGUGACUCAGAGUGGAAGAGAAGCGCAGGCUGUAAACAUAUGGUGUAUAUUUAGAGUUGUUGUAUUGAGGUGUGAGCAGCUCUUCAACUGCUUGUGUGUGUGUGUGUGUGAGUGUGUGUUGUGUCCAGUACAGUUGCACAACAAAAGCUUUUCCGGUACGGUUCCCUCCGACUGAAACGGUUCGACCCUGAUCAUAACGCUGACUCUGAUCAUAAUUUUCAGGAGAUUAUAAUGUCAUAUUAAAUGAGUGUGUGUGUGUGUGUGUGUAGCAGCGUUACUGUUGUUGAUUGUGGGCGUGGCCUGUCCAGAAACAGUAGUGAAAAUCUACAUCCUGCACUCUGCUGUACUAUUUAUACACAUAUAUUUGUGUUACAUGUCGCAUGCUCGGCUUCGUACUAGCUUUGUUCUCAGAUAAGAUUAGCAAAGCAAGCUAACUGUAUUAGCUACGUGCGCUCACUGCUACUUCCUUCCAAGCUAUUUCGUUCUUCAUAACGUCUCUGAACGCACGUAAUGCUUUUAUACACAUGUAAUGAGAGGUCGCUCACUCGACUGAUGUACGACCUCUCAUUACAUGUGUAUAAAAGUAUACGUGUGUUCGGAGACAUUAUGAAGACCAAAACAACUUGGAAGGAAGUAGCAGUGAGAGGAUAAGAUAAAACCACGGUUCGUCAAACUGUUAACAGGAACUAGUCACAGGUAGGACCUAGACCUAGUCACGGGUAGGACCUAGACCUAGUCACGGGUAGGACCUAGACCUAGUCACGGGUAGGACCUAGACCUAGUCACGGGUAGGACCUAGACCUAGUCACAGGUAGGACCUAGACCUAGUCACAGGUAGGACCUAGACCUAGUCACGGGUAGGACCUAGACAUAGUCACGGG
ensembl:lncRNA